rnacentral:tRNA from 1 species
GGGGAUUUAGCUCAGUGGUAGAGCGCUUGCCUAGCAAGCACAAGGCCCUGGGUUCGGUUCCCAGCUUCG